AGCCCGGUCGUCUAGCGGUCAAGGAAGGGCUAGAUCUCCUUGAAUACCAGGCUCUGGACCUGGUGACGGCAGUUCGAAUCUGCCCCGGGCUA
rnacentral:tRNA from 1 species